rnacentral:rRNA from 1 species
UACGUAGGAGGCAAGCGUUGUCCGGAUUUACUGGGCGUAAAGCGCGCGCAGGCGGCAUGGCAAGUAAGGUAGUGAAAUCUCCCUGCCUAACGGGGAGGGAGCACCAUAGACUGCCAAGCUAGAGGACGGUAGAGGGGGGGGUAGAAUUGCUGGUGUAGCGGUGAAAUGCGUAGAGAUCAGCAGGAAUACCCGUGGCGAAGGCGGCCCCCUGGGCCGAACCUGACGCCUGAGGCGCGAAGGCUAGGGGAGCGAACGGG